rnacentral:tRNA from 1 species
AAAAUCCGUCGACUUUAAAAAUCGUGAGGGUUCANGUCCCUCUAUCCCCA